UGCUGGAACCAGUAAAGCCGUUAAACCAAUCAGGAAGCAGUAGAAAUAUGAAUGGAUGGGAGUGAUGGAUUCUUCAUUGCAAAAUGUUUACUGCCUGAGGUUAGAGAUAUGAAUUAGAGACCUACUCUGACCAAAGUUCCAUGACAGGAGCUGUGGGAAGAUAGAAACCUUAACACUAUACAGUCUGAUGUGAAGGAACUGGAACUCUGAUGGGGAUGCACGUGUCCUCAGGUAACUGAAAGCCAUCACCUUCAUUACCUUUUCAGACCUGCUAUCCUCAGACAGUGCCUUGGGCUUCA
rnacentral:lncRNA from 13 species